UACGUAGGUGGCGAGCGUUGUCCGGAUUUACUGGGCGUAAAGGGCGCGUAGGCGGCCCGCUAAGUCGAACGUGAAAUCCCCGAGCUCAACUCGGGAACUGCGUCCGAUACUGGCGGGCUUGAAUCCGGGAGAGGGAUGCGGAAUUCCAGGUGUAGCGGUGAAAUGCGUAGAUAUCUGGAGGAACACCGGUGGCGAAGGCGGCAUCCUGGACCGGCAUUGACGCUGAGGCGCGAAAGCUAAGGGAGCAAACGGG
rnacentral:rRNA from 1 species